CGAGACGACGCUGGCGGCGUGCCUAACACAUGCAAGUCGGAACGGGGUAAAGAGCUUUCGGUUUUUACUUAGUGGCGAACGGGUGAGUAACGCGUGAGAAACCUGCCUUUCAGUGGGGGACAACAGUUGGAAACGACUGCUAAUACCGCAUAAUGUUAUUUGGGGGCAUCCCUGAAUAACCAAAGAUUUAUUGCUGAAAGAUGGUCUCGCGUCUGAUUAGCUAGUUGGUGAGGUAACGGCUCACCAAGGCGACGAUCAGUAGCCGGUCUGAGAGGAUGAACGGCCACAUUGGGACUGAGAUACGGCCCAGACUCCUACGGGAGGCAGCAGUGGGGAAUAUUGGGCAAUGGGGGAAACCCUGACCCAGCAACGCCGCGUGAAGGAAGAAGGCCCUCGGGUUGUAAACUUCUUUUAGCAGGGACGAAUUCUGACGGUACCUGCAGAAAAAGCAACGGCUAACUACGUG
rnacentral:rRNA from 1 species